CCUACGGGAGGCAGCAGUGAGGAAUAUUGGUCAAUGGUCGCGAGACUGAACCAGCCAAGCCGCGUGCUGGAGGACGGCACAGUGUAUCGUAAACUUCUUUUGUCAGGGAACAAAGACAGGGACGCGUCCCUGGCUGAGUGUACCUGAAGAAUAAGCAUCGGCUAACUCCGUGCCAGCAGCCGCGGUAAUACGGAGGAUUCAAGCGUUAUCCGGAUUUAUUGGGUUUAAAGGGUGCGCAGGCGGUCCGGUAAGUUAGAGGUGAAAUCCCGAGGCUCAACCUCGGAAUUGCCUUUGAAACUGGCAGGCUAGAGUGGGAGAGAGGUAGGCGGAAUGCGCGGUGUAGCGGUGAAAUGCAUAGAGAUCGUGCAGAACACCGAUUGCGAAGGCAGCUUGCCGACUUCACACUGACGCUGAGGCACGAAAGCGUGGGUAGCAAACAGGAUUAGAUACCCGUGUAGUC
rnacentral:rRNA from 1 species